UACGUAGGGCGCAAGCGUUGUCCGGAAUUAUUGGGCGUAAAGAGCUCGUAGGCGGCCUGUCACGUCGGCUGUGAAAUCCCGGGGCUCAACCCCGGGCCUGCAGUCGAUACGGGCAGACUAGAGUGCGGUAGGGGAGACUGGAAUUCCUGGUGUAGCGGUGAAAUGCGCAGAUAUCAGGAGGAACACCGGUGGCGAAGGCGGGUCGCUGGGCCGAUACUGACGCUGAGGAGCGAAAGCGUGGGGAGCGAACAGG
rnacentral:rRNA from 1 species